GACGAACGCUGGCGGCGUGCCUAAUACAUGCAAGUUGAGCGAUGAAGAUUGGUGCUUGCACCAAUUUGAAGAGCGGCGAACGGGUGAGUAACGCGUGGGGAAUCUGCCUUUGAGCGGGGGACAACAUUUGGAAACGAAUGCUAAUACCGCAUAACAACUUUAAACAUAAGUUUUAAGUUUGAAAGAUGCAAUUGCAUCACUCAAAGAUGAUCCCGCGUUGUAUUAGCUAGUUGGUGAGGUAAAGGCUCACCAAGGCGAUGAUACAUAGCCGACCUGAGAGGGUGAUCGGCCACAUUGGGACUGAGACACGGCCCAAACUCCUACGGGAGGCAGCAGUAGGGAAUCUUCGGCAAUGGACGAAAGUCUGACCGAGCAACGCCGCGUGAGUGAAGAAGGUUUUCGGAUCGUAAAACUCUGUUGGUAGAGAAGAACGUUGGUGAGAGUGGAAAGCUCAUCAAGUGACGGUAACUACCCAGAAAGGGACGGCUAACUACGUG
rnacentral:rRNA from 1 species